GCGCUUACCUGGUUCUGGGUUUGCGGGGAUCACGGAGGCCAGGGCCUCGUGCGGAGGCCUCUCCAUUGCACUGUGGUUGGCUGAAGCACGCCACUUCCCCAAGUCGGUGUAGUUGGAGCAUGCCAUUUUUGGUAGUGAGGCUAGCUGUGCGCGCCAGCCCCC